AACGAACGCUGGCGGCAGGCUUAACACAUGCAAGUCGAACGGGUGUAGCAAUACAUCAGUGGCAGACGGGUGAGUAACACGUGGGAACCUUCCUAGGGGUACGGAACAACUCAGGGAAACUUGAGCUAAUACCGUAUACGUCCGUGAGGAGAAAGAUUUAUCGCCCUUAGACGGGCCCGCGUCGGAUUAGCUAGUUGGUGGGGUAACGGCCUACCAAGGCGACGAUCCGUAGCUGAUCUUAGAGGAUGAUCAGCCACACUGGGACUGGGACACGGCCCAGACUCCUACGGGAGGCAGCAGUGGGGAAUCUUGGACAAUGGGCGCAAGCCUGAUCCAGCCAUUCCGCGUGCAGGAUGAAGGCCCUCGGGUUGUAAACUGCUUUUGUACGGAACGAAACGGCCUUGGUUAAUACCUGGGGCUAAUGACGGUACCGUAAGAAUAAGCACCGGCUAAC
rnacentral:rRNA from 1 species